CUCCUCCUCCGGCCGCUGCGAGGGGAGGGGAGGGGAGGGGGCUGGAGGGAGUCUCCCGCAGGUCCCGGCCCGAGGAGGAGCCCAGGGCCGCCCCGCCCCCGGCCCGGCCCGGCCCGGCCCUCGCGCCUCCUUUCACCGCCUGCUUCUACAGGUGGCCGCAGGGAGCCGCUUCUGGCCUUUCCUUGUGGCCGCCUUUCUCCCCCGGCCCUGCCAGAGCAUCUCCCGCCUGCAUACGCUCUCUCACACACGCGCGCGCGCGCUCAGAGGCACCACUGUUCAGCUGAGAUGAAGUCACUAGCGCUGCCCAUGCUGAAGAUGAACACCCGAUUUGCCUUGCUGUUUGGCUAAGAGGAUGAUGAAGUGAGCAGUAGGAACUGAAGGGAUGGCAUCACACAUCUUCAUUCUGUUUCUGAGACCAAACAACUGCAUUGUUUUUCUAGUACAGUAUUUUGCAUUUGUCUUUUUAUGGCUAGUCACCUGCCCUCUAACUAGAAAAACAAUGAUAAAUCAAGCAAAUUUAGAAACUUGUUCUUUGUGACAUUGUUUCAGAGGAAAAACAAACAAACAAAACCCCAUUUGAUGGGUUUGAAAUUAUUUGAGAAGCUCUGGUUCAUCUGAAUACAGGGUUUUCUUUUCUUCUUUUAACAUAUAUGCAGACCCAGAGCCAUAGCUAGGCAUUUUGGCACCUGGUGCAGAUCAUAUGUAGAGUGCCCCUUUAUACUAUUAUAUAACAUUAUUACCAUUUGAUUUGAUGCCCCUUGUAUGAGGAUGCCCAGUGCCAGUGCACAGCUGGCACUGUUCUGGCUACAGUAUUGUGUAGACCAGUGAUCCUCAGUCAGGGUGCUGUGGCACCCUGGAGUGACUUGAGAUUUUUGUCAGGGGUGCCGCAGAAUGCCAUGCAAUGUUAGCACUGUGAGAUGUGCAAACAUGAUUUACAAGAUAAAUCCAACGAUUUCAAAUAAGAAUCCAUAGAGUUCAACAUAUUCUAACCUGUUGUGGUCUUUUGGAGUUCUUUGCAAUAGAAAAAGAGCUGUACUAUUUGUCUACAGUCAAAAAAGGAGUGAAAGCUAAAAGCUAGCACUUUCUGAAGCGUGCCUCGAGUCUGAGGAGGAGCUCCUUGUGUCUAAUAAGGGAUACCUUCACCUUAACAAGGCUAAGAACCAACCGUCAGCAUAGACCAUCUAACAGUGAACAUGAAAGCCACAUAAUACUGAGGUUAGCCAAGGCUUUAAAAUUCACCAGGGAUGGGGGAAAACUACAUUUGGAAUUCAUUAAAAAUACUAUAUUUGA